GAUCCUUGUCAACUUGAUCCCAACUACCUUUCUAUAUAUAUAUAUAUAUAUAUAUAUAUAUACACAUAUAUAUAUUUCUUUAUAUGUAUAUAUAUAUUACUUUAAAUUCUAGGGUACAUGUGGACACUGUCCACUUCUUAUCAACAGCGUUUCCUUCUUGGGUAUUACCAGUGAUAAUAGCUCAGGCUCGCCUUUUUCUCUGGCACUCACAGGAAUUUCUGUUGACACCAGGGUGCUGGUGGAGAACAUAUCUCCAGAGAGCUCAAAGGGAAGGUUUGCAGAUCCAAAGAUCACAGGGCUAGCUGAUGGACAGCAGGGGUCUGAAUCCGGGUGCCUGACACCAGAGCAUGUACUUUUCAUUUGGAUUCCAUGAGACUCCCGCAGACAUAACUCACCAGUCACAUUGGAUCACGGUCCACCUAUCUGACCUCAUUUAACCUUGAAUCUCUUUAAAGGCCGUAUCUCCAAAUACAGUCAUUUUAAGGUACUGGUAGUUAGGACUUCAACAUAUGAAUUUGCUGGGGGAGACACAGCCCAUGCAGUGUUGGAAUCCUACCCAUCCACAUCCCUCCUCAGAUGCACUUCCCUUCAGGAAGCAUGAAACUCAGCCAGCUGGAAUUUCUCCUUCCUUGAGACCCCAUUUCUCCACUCCACCACUUAAC
rnacentral:lncRNA from 10 species